GCCGGGCGCAGCAUGGGCGGCCCGCGGGCCUGGGCGCUGCUCUGCCUCGCGCUCCUGCUCCCCGGAGGCAGCGCCGCGUGGAGCGUCGGGGGAGCCCAGUUCUCCGGGCGCAGGAACUGGUGCUCAUACGUGGUGACCCGCACCAUCUCAUGCCACGUGCAGAAUGGCACCUACCUUCAGCGGGUGCUGCAGAAUUGCCCCUGGCCCAUGAGCUGCCCGGGGAACAGCUACAGAACCGUGGUGAGACCCACAUACAAGGUGAUGUACAAGACAGUGACCGCCCGCGAGUGGAGGUGCUGCCCGGGGCACUCGGGGCCGAGCUGCGAGGAAGUUGCAGGCUCCUCUGGCUUCGUGGAGCCUGGGUGGUCGGGAAACACCCUGCGGCGGAUGGCGCUACGGCCCACAGCCUUCUCAGGUUGCCUCAACUGCAGCAAAGUGUUGGAGCUGACGGAGCGGCUGAAGGUGCUGGAGGCCAAGGUGGCAGUGCUGACUGUGACCGAGCAGGCAAUGUCCCCGACUCGAGCUGCCCCUGAGGACCCCGCCCCGCUCUGGGGCUCUCCAGCUGCCCAGGGCAGCCCCGGGGAUGGAGGCCUCCGAGGGCUACCUGGAGCCAGAGAAAACACGAGGGCCCCGCUGCUCCCUCGAGAUGGUGGAGUUGGUACCCGGGGGCUUCCUGGACCCACUGGCCCCAAGGGAGACACCGGCAGCCGUGGCCCGAUGGGGAUGAGAGGCCCGCCAGGUCCGCAGGGCCCCCCAGGGAGCCCUGGCCAGGCUGGAGCCAUGGGCACCCCUGGAGAGAGGGGACCUCCGGGCCCACCAGGGCCUCCAGGCCCCCCUGGCCCCCCAGCCCCUGUUGGACCACCCCACGCCCGGAUCUCCCAGCAUGGGGACCCAUUUCUGUCUAACACCUUCACUGAGACCAGCAGCCACUGGCCCCAGGGACUAGUUGGACCCCCAGGCCCCCCAGGGCCCAUGGGUCCCCCUGGACCUCCUGGUCCCAUGGGCAUCCCUGGGAGUCCUGGACAUAUGGGACCCCCAGGCCCCACUGGACCCAGAGGAACCUCUGGCCACCCAGGAGAGAAAGGCGAAAGAGGACUGCGGGGGGAACCUGGCCCCCAAGGCUCCACGGGGCAGCGGGGAGAACCUGGCCCCAAAGGAGACCCUGGUGAGAAGAGCCACUGGGGGGAGGGGUUGCACCAACUACGCGAGGCUUUGAAGAUUUUAGCUGAGAGGGUUUUAAUCUUGGAAACAAUGAUUGGGCUCUAUGGCUCCUAGCUUACAGAGCUUCCUGCAGCAGCAGGCUCAGCUGGAGCUCCUGGCCAGACGGGUCACCUUGCUGGAAGCCAUCAUCUGGCCAGAACCAGAGGGGUCGGGGGCAGGCCCUGCCGGCCUGGGCACCCCCACCCUCCUGCGGGGCAAGAGGGGAGGACACGUGGCCAGCUACCGGAUCGUGGCCCCCAGGAGCCGCAACGAGAGAGGCUGAGGGCAGUGGCAGCCCCUCGGGGUGGGCCAGGCCAGGCUUCCCUUCCCAGGCAGGACUUGGCCAGCUGUCUCCUGAGACCACCCAUCCAUAUUUAUUAAUGUCCUCAGGGUCCCUUCUGCCACCUAGCCCUUUGGGGUAGGCAGGUCUGUCUUGGCACCCCAUGCAUAUCUGCCUCGGAUGAGGCUGAGCAGGGACUGGGGCCUGAGAGGGAGGGGCUGCCCAAGUGAGAGGUGAGACCUUGCUCAGGGCUCUGGGCCUCAGUUUCCCUCUGUGAAGUGGGGUGAUGCAGGCCUGCAGGGAGGGGAGUGGCAGGUUCGAGGCUUGUCUUCUCAUCAGCCCCCUGGGCAUCCAGGCCCCCAGGCACUGAGGGAGUCAGGAGUUGGGGCUCUGCUUGGCCCUCAGCACAUGCAGGGAUGAGGGAGGGCAGGCUUGUCACCCCCUCCUCCCCAGCCACACCUCGAGCAGCCCACCUGCGCCCCUCCUCUCCUUUUUUUGGUGCUGGGUGCCCAACCCUGAAGUCAAGCUACCUAAUCUGACAUGAUAUUCAGGGCUCCUUGCCUCAGUUCUGUCCCCUGAGCCCCCAGCCCCUCCCAUGUCCCUGGUGGGGGGUGGAGGCAUGGAGAGGGAGGGGCCACCUACUCCAACAAACCUUUGUUAUGGACACCAGGAGGUAGAUGUGUACCGGCCAAUAAAGGCCCCCAGCCUGAUUCCC